UGGGGAAUAUUGGACAAUGGGCGAAAGCCUGAUCCAGCCAUGCCGCGUGUGUGAAGAAGGUCUUCGGAUUGUAAAGCACUUUAAGUUGGGAGGAAGGGCAGUAAGCGAAUACCUUGCUGUUUUGACGUUACCGACAGAAUAAGCACCGGCUAACUCUGUGCCAGCAGCCGCGGUAAUACAGAGGGUGCAAGCGUUAAUCGGAAUUACUGGGCGUAAAGCGCGCGUAGGUGGUUCGUUAAGUUGAAUGUGAAAGCCCCGGGCUCAACCUGGGAACUGCAUCCAAAACUGGCGGGCUAGAGUAGGGCAGAGGGUGGUGGAAUUUACUGUGUAGCGGUGAAAUGCGUAGAUAUAGGAAGGAACACCAAUGGCGAAGGCGACCACCUGGGCUCAUACUGACACUGAGGUGCGAAAGCGUGGGGAGCAAACAGG
rnacentral:rRNA from 1 species